rnacentral:lncRNA from 1 species
CCUUUGACACAAACACUUAUUAAAAAAACCUAAAAACAGUCUUUUUUCAAGCAUCAAGCCAUAUAAAACUUACAAUAUCUUGGAAUGAGUGAGAGACCAAGAAUCAAAUGAUUUGUUUAGGACACAGUGUUACUUAAAUGGCCUCAUUAUGGACCUAGCUAAAAAUGAUAAUUUUCAGAGUAUAUAAUUCCUCACAUUAUUUAACAAAAAAGGAAGUAUUUUUUUCUCUAGAGACUUCUGAGAGACCAGAACCCUACUGACACAUUAAUUUUGGAUUUCAAUCAUCCAAAAGUAUGAAAGAAUAAAUUCCUGUUGCCUUAAGCCCCUUAGUUUGUGACUAUUUCUUAUAGUAGCAUUUACAAACUAAUACAUUUGAAAAUAUAGGAAAUACUUUACAAUAUCCAAUAGUCCAUUUUUCUUGAAAUAGAUAUGGGUAUGUCAGUGUUACAUGAAUAUGUAGACUUCUUAGGUCAAAGGACUCUUGAUUAUGAAAUGUUCAUGAAAAGGACAACCAAGUCUAGAGUUUAAAACAAUUACUGUCAAUAUAUACUUUUUAUAUGAUGUCAUUAAUCCCUGGCUUUGAAAAUACUUCACCAGCCACAGUCAUAGAACAAGUGCUCACUGGCUCUGAGUUUCCCCUUCUUAUUAUAGCCUUUAACUUGAAUCACAAAAUAUUUUGACUGGUAGGAUUUCUUUAAUUCUGAAAGCUUUUGAAAAAGAAAGAAUAACUGCUCCAAGGGGAGCAAUUUCUAUUUGAAGAUUUUCUUAAAUAUUCUUUUUUUUGGUCAACUUAAUCACUGUAAUAUUAUUAAACUACUACAAAAAUUGAAACUUGGAGUUCCCUGGUGGCUGAGUGAGUUAAGGAUCUGACACUGUUACUGCUGUGACAAGUUGCUGCUGUGGCAUGGGUUUGAUCCCUGUCCCCAGAAUUUACAUGUGCCACAGGCGUGGCCAAAAACAAAAACCAAAAAGCAAAAACUGAAACUUGAUAGAAUUUAGUUUUCUGGCUAUUUUCAAUAAAAGACUUAUAUAUCAUAUUGAUUGAAUGCAAGUCAGUGGGAGAAAAAGUGCUUAUUUAAAUAUAUUCCUAAUGUAGCUGAACUUCAACUUUAGAAUUUAUCCAUACACGAUACUCGUCCCUAGCUGUGUACACAUACACAGGUAUUUUUGAUAUUUAGAAGUAGUAUGGCUGAGCUUUGCUCUCAAUUUACAUUAGUGCUAAAAUGGAAAGCAAGUAAACAAAUAAUUGUAUGGUGCCUCAUUCUCAAUAAUGUAAUUCUUUCCUAGAAGUUUGUUCUUAAUUCUGUUCUCAUUCCUUUUGUCAUCAUUGAUGUUGUCACAGCUUUCAUCAUCAACAUAAUCAUCACCCUCAUUCAGUAGCUCUUACUUGAUAUGAUUGAGCAAUAAGGAUAUAAUAGUGAGCACAGAUCUUACAUUUGCUAGGGCAAAGCAAAAUGGAUGGUUUCAAUAUAAUAUGAUAUGUGAAAGAUAUUACAUGGCAUUACAGUGUGCUAAAAGAGCACUGACAAUGGCACUUAACUUGUAUUUGAAGUUUCGUCAUUGUAUCAGGAUAAUUUCCAGUCAUCCUUAUCUCAGUUUAGUUACUCUUCUGCUAAGUCAUACUAGAACUAGUAAGGGAGAGCUGGUGCUUUGUAGAACUAAAGAAAGUUUGAUAUAAACGAUAGAAAGAAAAGAAUAAAAUCAAAUAUAGUUCAAGUAUAGAGUUCAAGCACAGAAAUUGAGAUAAAUGAGGGAGGAGAGGUAUUAUGGUCUAUAUCGUGCAUGGUUUUUAAACAUUAUUAUGCUACACAGAUUUCUCCCCCAAAGUUAAGCUGAACUUCUCCAAGUUUCUUAGAUUUUCUAUUGUCUCUCCUCGUGCCAGGCUGUACACAUGCUUGUUCUUCCAGCUACAAUAAAUCUAUCCCCAUUCUUUAUCUGCAUAAUCCUUACCCCUCUCAGAUCUCAGGUCUCAUAUCAUUUCCUCAGGGAAACUUUGCUAUGAUUUGUAGAAUCCAAAGAUGACCCACAAUGGCCUAUAGUGGGUGAGUUCCUUGAGUGCAAGAACAAUAAAUAUGAAGAGAUAUCAUUAAUGCAAAAGAAUAUUUUCCUGAGUGGGCUUGACUUAGCCAGAUGAGACCUUAAAAGAAGGUGAAGUAUCAUAGAAGUUCCCCUGCUUGGCCUGUAAAGAAGCUGUCAUAUUGUAAAUUGCCUUUGCAAGGAGCCACAGGAGACCUCAGUCCAACAACCACAAGGAACUAAUUCUGUCAGCAACUUCAUUCCACUUGAAAAGGGACCCUGAGUUCUAAAUGAGACUUCAAAGAAAGCCAAUAUCUUGAUUUUAGUCUGAUUCUGAGUAGAGACCUCAAUUAACCUGUGUCUGAACUCCUGAUCAAUGGAAAUUGAGAUAAUAAAUUCAUGCUGCUUUCAGCUGCUAAUUUUGUGGUAAUUCUUAUGAAGCAAUAGGAAAGUAACAGACUUCCUAAAUUCUCACACUAGCAAUUUUCCCUUAUAUACUACCACAGUAAUCAGUUCUUUCUGUUUUGUUCACUCUUCACCAAGUAAUAUACCUAGCAUGUACUGCACACUCAAAAAAUAUUUAUUAAUCAAAUGAGAUAUGGGGAACCAUUGAAAAGUUUGAUGCAUUGGGAUGAAAUGGUAAAUAUCCUGAAUAUAAACUGUAUUGACAAGCAAUUUUGUAUAUGACCUGUUCCCAACUUAUUUGUUAAGUACAUUUUUCACCACUGGCACACUCCAUAACCAGCAACAUAUCCUCUAGACAUUUUUCUGUCACUUGUGCUUCUCUCUACAUGCUAUUUUUCUGAUGAUACAUUGUUUUCUCUCUGUUCUACUUUCAUUUGUCUGGUUUCCCCAUUUUCUUAUGUCAACCUAAAAAGCACUCACUCUUGAAUCUUGCUCUUCAUUGUCACAACAUGCCAUGUGAUCAGUGAAGCUUUCUCCACAUUAGCUGUGCAGCCCAUGAAAACCACCUCUGGUAUUCAGAGGAGAUACAGGUAAGAUACGUGCUUAGUGUUCUCGAAGUUAGGAAUAAUUUACAUCAAUGCCUAAUUAUGCAUUUUGGCAGAGUGAACUAUCAUUGGCUUGUGGUUUUCAGGUUUAUAACUAUCCAGUCAAUAACCACAGACAUGAAUUUUAGAAGCCAUCUAGCAACUAGCAUUUAAAGAAAAAAAAGUAGGAAUUCCUGUUAUGGUGUAGCAGUAAUGAAUCCGACUAGUUUCAAUGAGGAUGUGGGUUUGAUCACUGGCCUUGCUCAGUGGGUCAGGGAUCCAGCAUUGCUGUGAGCUGUGAUGUAGGUCGCAGACACAGCUCAGAUUCCACGUUGCUGUGGCUGUGGUGUAGGCUGGCAGCUGUAGCUCUGAUUUGACCCCUAGUUGGAGAACUUCCAUAUGCUGCAGAUGUGGCC